AGUGUGAAAUAAAAACAGAAGAUCAUAAAGUUCAUCUUUUUACCUUCAGCUCUCAUCCAUCAGACCAACACAAAACAACGACCACAUCACCAUCAGUUACAGCCGAACCAAGAGAAACAUCAGAAACAUCAGGCACAGUUUUACCUUGGAGGUCCAUCACUCUGCCUCUGGUUCUAGUGGUCAUGAUAAUACCUUCUGUUGUUUUCAUAAAGAAGAUUAAAG